CUUAUUCCUGACAAAUUUAUAGGAUGUAGAGGGAAAACUCGGUCAUCAUGGUGCUCGAAUGAGACACUUUUGAGAGUGAAGGAAAAUCUGGAUUAUCUGAAAGACAUGACAAAACUAUACUUUGAAGAAAACACCAGGGAAGAUGUCUCUAAUGACACCAUUUGAUGUGUGUAUAAGAACGUAAUAAGGGGUCAUUUGAUAAACUUAGGCUUUGAAAUUAAAAAGAGAAAAGGUCGCUCCUUAAAACCAGUUGUAUGUUGAGCUCAG